ensembl:lncRNA
AAUAUUGCCAUCUGGGAAUGUGAAGCUGUCAAAGCACAAAUCUGAAAUCUGUCAGCUGUUCAUCAACAUGCUUGUGAGAAAAAAAUGCAACAGAAAGGUAACUUCUGGGGAGGAAGUGAUGAGGCAGCAGGGAAAGCGCACAUUUGUUGCCAGCAGCACUGAGGAGAGACAAUUGCAAUCACUUCUCUUUUGGGGUAAUUGGGACAGAUACCGAACCUGCUCAACUGGAGCUGGCUGCGAACCUUGUCCUGGUUGACCACUGCACAUCUUCUUCAUGUAGGUACUGCUUAUAGAACAGAGUAGCUAGACAACCUUUAACCUUUGGGCCAACUCAGCACUUCGAGGUUUGGUGGCGUAUCACUAAAACACAUUUUCCCAAACUUGAACAAUUUUUGAGCUUGCUUUCCGGAAUCUUCCUUAUGUUCUGACACCCCAUUCAAAAUACUGAAGUAACAGCCUCUCAGAUCAUGUGUGCAGGUGUACUAACACCUUCAUCCUUCUCUGAUUUUCUGCUUCUCUAUUCAUGGACUGCCUCAAAUAUGGAUUUGAUUAGAAGCUUUUAGUAAUCAUUUAUCACUUUUUUAGUUUCACUUCACACCAGGUUGCAAUAAAACUGUUUUGAGAUCGAUAAUACCUAGACCGAUUACAAUGUCCAAAGAAGGCGCGAGGUCAUUAUCAGGAAGGUUGAUUUUAAAUUGGUUUAGAAGCCAGCUCAUGCUAGUCUUUGGAUUAAACCUCAUGUGCCCCAGGAAACUCUCUGAGAAUUGGGAUGGCCAGUGGCAGGCAAGGGACAGAUAUAGCUAAAGAAAGCGCAUGAGCCACUUCAGAUGAUAUGUUCCAAGUUCCUCCCCAGGUUUUUUGCCUUUUAUUCUCCAAUUCAGGUAUUACAUUGCCACUGGUUUCCACCAGGAUUGUGCAUGCACCUUGACAUGUUCACAGAAGUUCCACAAUACAGAGUUUCACAACUGGGACAGGUCCCUACAAUUGGGACACCAGGGUGACAAAACAGAUUCUGGAGAAUUUCUCACUGAAUAGGGUGGAGAGAACAUAAUUACCACAUCGUAGCACUACAAAGCCUCAUAAACAUAGAAUAGACUAGAUCCAUUUACCACAAAAAUCACAGAAAGUAGCUGAUCAAAGAAUAUCUCUUUUAUGUAAAAUAUACAUUUUUAAGAUAUAAUUUUAAUACAUUUUAUAUUUAUUGAUGUUGGGUUUGAAACAUUUUAAAUUAAAAAGAAAAAAAAAAUACUCUUGCUGCCAGAAUUUUAUUUCUCAUAAUACUUAUAGUCUGAGGUAACAAUGAAAGAAGACUGUGUGCUGUGAACAAAGUUGGUGAUGUUUGUCUGCAGUCACAUUUCACUUAUUAAAGUGAAAAGCAAAGUUAGGACUUAGCAUGUACACUAGAAUUCAUACAAAUAUAGCUUAUGGCAAACUGAGAAAGCAAGAACUUAUGCAAACCUACUCUGAUCAUAUUUGUGACCUUUGCAAAUAAUACCAUUGUUAUGACAGAAAUCAAGACAGAUGUAGUUUACAUCACUAUUAUUAUUAAGUGUGUGUCUUUGUAUGAUCCACAGCACAACUUACUGCAGGAACCAGGAAUAAUACACAUAGGGGUGUGGGUCUUUGCAUGGAGCCUUAGCAAUGAUGACUUUAAUUCAGCUUUCCUUGAUAUAGAUAAAAACUGAUAUUCCAUGCACACACAUUUUAUUUACAGCUGACUCAUCAACAGUGACUAAUCACCCCCUCCUCUGGCAGCAGUAAUUAUGAGCAGUCUUUAAUCUUCUUUAACAAGCUCUACUUCUCAUGUAAAGCCUCAGUGACCUC